rnacentral:rRNA from 1 species
UGGGCAAGCUGUCGCUGGUCUCAGUAAUGGGGCAUGUGCACGCUUUGUUCAUCCACCUUCACACCUCUGUGCACUUCUCAUGGGUUGGGUUGCGCUUGAAAAAUAGCAAAAGCCCAUCUCAUGUGUUUUAUCACACACUACAAGUUUUAGAAUGUUACAAUCAUGCGUCAAUGCAUAUAAUACAACUUUCAGCAACGGAUCUCUUGGCUCUCGCAUCGAUGAAGAACGCAGCGAAAUGCGAUAAGUAAUGUGAAUUGCAGAAUUCAGUGAAUCAUCGAAUCUUUGAACGCACCUUGCGCUCCUUGGUAUUCCGAGGAGCAUGCCUGUUUGAGUGUCGUGGUAUUCUCAACCCUCCUGCAUUUUUUGCAGCUGGGAUUGGACUUGGAGGUUUUUUGCUGGUGGUCAAAUAUUUUUAUUUGAACACGGGCUCCUCUGAAAAGCAUUAGCUAAGAAUAUUACUGAGCAUGAUUCAAUGUGAUAAUUGUCUACGUUGCUUCAACUCAGUAUUAAAUGUGUUCUAGCUUCAAACCGUCCUCACGGACAAUAUCUGAACAUCUGACCUCAAAUCAGGCAGGACUACCCGCUGAACUUAAGCAUAUCAAUA